AAGAGAGGAGCAUGGUGGUUAUGCUAUUGGCUUGAAACCAAUAGAAGGUGGUUCGAUUCCGCCCUGUCUUG
rnacentral:tRNA from 1 species